GGCCAGUGUGGUGUAAUGGUUUGAGCGUUGGACUACGACCCUGGGGACCAGGGUUUGAAUCCCUGCUUGGUCA